ACAGUAGCCAUCUGGUGAAGUUUGACGCUGCCUCACACGCAACCGAAGCUCAAUCUAUUUACCCACUCUUUUCGGCAUGGGUUCGGCGUUGACCCACCUCUAAUCGGACCCAAAUCAGCAUUACUCAUCACUUUUAGACGUCGGGACAGCAAGCUUAAGGCCUUUUGAACUUAGAUUGGGAGCCCGAACCCCUUCGACGUCAACCCACUCCUAACCCAAGUUGUUUUAGUGUGGGUUAGUAGUAGGAAGUGCUCAACGAGCUUAGGAGCUUUAGGACAAGUGUUUGUGAAGGACUCGAGGGUGACCAUGCUGAUGGGACGGGGGAGACCUGACAAACGAGGACUAUAGGCUGCUUAGUUUUCCUUAUUUAGUCUAAUUCUUUUGUUAGGGCCUUAUGUUGUGGCCAAUAAACGGAUUAUGUACCUUUGAAUAAUUGGGAGAUUU